AGGGGUGGGUCAUUGCACGGCGGAGACGAUCAAUCUUGAGGAAAGUAUAGUUGAUUUGUUGCUGUAGCAGUACAAGAGCUGAUUCAAACGGCGAUGCCGAGGGUUUGACUUUGAUCCUCUGAUAAUCGAGCUCGUUUACAGCGCGAGCCUGCGAAAGGAAGAAUAUCACCAAAGCAAGUAGUGUAAAGACAGUGAAGCGACGAGAAGCCAUUUUCCAAUUUUUCUUUCAACACCAGAACUUCACCGUCACUGGUUU
rnacentral:misc_RNA from 1 species